UGCAAGUCGAACGAGAAAGUGGAGCAAUCCAUGAGUACAGUGGCGUACGGGUGAGUAACACGUGGGUAAUCUACCUCUUAGUGGGGAAUAACUCUGGGAAACCGGAGCUAAUACCGCAUAAUCUCGAGAGAGGAAAGCAGCAAUGCGCUGAGAGAGGAGCCCGCGGCCGAUUAGCUAGUUGGCAGGGUAAAAGCCUACCAAGGCAGAGAUCGGUAGCCGGCCUGAGAGGGCACACGGCCACACUGGCACUGAAACACGGGCCAGACUCCUACGGGAGGCAGCAGUGGGGAAUCUUGCACAAUGGGGGAAACCCUGAUGCAGCGACGCCGCGUGAGCGAUGAAGCCCUUCGGGGUGUAAAGCUCUUUCGGCAGGGAAGAUGGUGACGGUACCUGCAGAAGCAGCUGCGGCUAACUACGUGCCAGCAGCCGCGGUAAUACGUAGGCAGCGAGCGUUGUUCGGAGUUACUGGGCGUAAAGGGUGUGUAGGCGGUUGUUUAAGUUUGGUGUGAAAUCUCCCGGCUCAACUGGGAGGGUGCGCCGAAUACUGAGCGACUAGAGUGCGGGAGAGGAAAGUGGAAUUCCUGGUGUAGCGGUGAAAUGCGUAGAUAUCAGGAGGAACACCGGUGGUGUAGACGGCUUUCUGGACCGUAACUGACGCUGAGACACGAAAGCGUGGGUAGCA
rnacentral:rRNA from 1 species